rnacentral:rRNA from 1 species
GAGUUUGAUCCUGGCUCAGAACGAACGCUGGCGGCGUGCCUAACACAUGCAAGUCGAACGGAUUUGAGGAGCUUGCUUCUCAAGUUAGUGGCGCACGGGUGAGUAACGCGUAGAUAAUYUGCCUGAUGAUCUGGGAUAACACUUCGAAAGGGGUGCUAAUACCGGAUAAGCCCACGGAGUCUUUGGACUUUGCGGGAAAAGGGGGGGACCUUCGGGCCUUCUGUCAUCAGAUGAGUCUGCGUACCAUUAGCUAGUUGGUAGGGUAAAGGCCUACCAAGGCUACGAUGGUUAGCUGGUCUGAGAGGAUGAUCAGCCACACUGGACUGAGACACGGCCCCGACUCCUACGGGAGGCAGCAGCAAGGAAUCUUGCGCAAUGGGCGAAAGCCUGACGCAGCGACGCCGCGUGAGGGAUGAAGGCCUUCGGGUCGUAAACCUCUUUUUCUGGGGAAGAGUAAGGACGGUACUCAGAGAAUAAGCCCCGGCUAACUACGURCCAGCAGCCGCGGUWAUUCAAGCRCGCACUGGAAACASCUAUGACCMYGAWUYCGSAUYCACWSGCCGUCGUUUACAACCWCAUGAAACAGCUAKAACAUUSCC